AGCGUAGACGGAAUGGCAAGUCUGAUGUGAAAGACCGGGGCUCAACCCCGGGACUGCAUUGGAAACUGUCAAUCUAGAGUACCGGAGGGGUAAGUGGAAUUCCUAGUGUAGCGGUGAAAUGCGUAGAUAUUAGGAGGAACACCAGUGGCGAAGGCGGCUUACUGGACGGUAACUGACGUUGAGGCUCGAAAGCGUGGGGAGCAAACA
rnacentral:rRNA from 1 species